AGCUUUGCGCAGUGGCAGUAUCGUAGCCAAUGAGGUUUAUCCGAGGCGCGAUUAUUGCUAAUUGUUGCAAGAUGCUAGAACUAGAGGAGGUUUUGGCCUGCCUAAUUGGGAGUUGUACUAUCAA
ensembl:snRNA U4 U4 spliceosomal RNA